rnacentral:snRNA from 1 species
GGAUUUGAGGGCAAUCUGUCACCCCUUUGAUCACCAGGGUUGAUUUGGCUGAUCUGGCUGGCUAGGUGGGUGUGCCCUCCCUCCCUCACCGCUCCCACAUGCAUCCCUCCAGAAGUUGCACACUCAGUCAAAGAGGACAGCCUUCCCCCGAAUAGAGACAGACCAGUCUUCUGUCGAGGGUAUACAAGUAGCUGUGCUCCCCUGCUAGAACCUCCAAAAAGCUCUCAAGGAAUGCAAACUGCUCGUUUGAUUGUAUCAGGACCUGAAUUCUGGCUGAGUAAUAAUUUAAUGAAUUGAUUUGAUAGUUC